GAGUUUGAUUAUGGCUCAGGACAAACGCUGGCGGCGUGCUUAACACAUGCAAGUCGAACGAUGAAACGGAACGGAAAUUUUCGGAUGGAAGUUCUGUGGAUUAGUGGCGGACGGGUGAGUAAUGCAUGAAGAACCUGCCUUUCACAUAGGAAUAGCCUCGGGAAACCGGGAUUAAUACCAAAUGACACUCCGAGAUCGCAUGUUUUUGGGGUUAAAGAUUUUAUCGGUGAAAGAUGGCUUCAUGUCCCAUUAGCUGGUUGGUGAGGUAACGGCUCACCAAGGCGACGAUGGGUAGCCGGCCUGAGAGGGUGAACGGCCACAUUGGAACUGAGACACGGUCCAAACUCCUACGGGAGGCAGCAGUGGGGAAUAUUGCACAAUGGAGGAAACUCUGAUGCAGCGACGCCGCGUGAGCGAUGAAGGUCUUCGGAUCGUAAAGCUCUGUCCUAAGGGACGAUAAAGACGUACCUAGGAGGAGUCCGG
rnacentral:rRNA from 1 species